rnacentral:tRNA from 1 species
GCCCGGUUAGCUCAGUCGGUAGAGCAUUCGGCUUUUACGCCGACAUGACUCAAUGUGAGCAACGAAACCGAAAUGUCGGGGGUUCGAGCCCCCCAUUGGGCG